rnacentral:rRNA from 1 species
CGUAGGGGGCUAGCGUUGUCCGGAAUCAUUGGGCGUAAAGAGCGUGUAGGCGGCCCGGUAAGUCCGCUGUGAAAGUCGGGGCUCAACCCUCGAAUGCCGGUGGAUACUGUCGGGCUAGAGUGCGGAAGAGGCGAGUGGAAUUCCUGGUGUAGCGGUGAAAUGCGCAGAUAUCAGGAGGAACACCAAUUGCGAAGGCAGCUCGCUGGGACGUAACUGACGCUGAGACGCGAAAGCGUGGGGAGCAAACAGGAUUAGAUACCCUGGUAGUCCACGCUGUAAACGAUGGGCACUAGGUGUGGGGGGUGUCGACUCCCUCCGUGCCGAAGCUAACGCACUAAGUGCCCCGCCUGGGGAGUACGGCCGCAAGGCUA